rnacentral:rRNA from 1 species
UACGUAGGCAGCAAGCGUUGUUCGGAAUUACUGGGCGUAAGGAGUGUGUAGGCGGUGCUCUAAGUUCGGUGUGAAAUCUCCCGGCUUAACUGGGAGGGUGCGCCGGAAACUGGAGUGCUUGAGCGCGGGAGAGGAAAGCGGAAUUCCUGGUGUAGCGGUGAAAUGCGUUGAUAUCAGGAGGAACACCCAUGGCGAAGGCAGCAAGCUGGUCGAUUCCUGACGCUGAGGCGCGAAAGCGUGGGUAGCAAACAGG